rnacentral:tRNA from 1 species
GGAUGGGCUGUCGAUGGAGAGACAAGCAGACUGUAAAUCUGUAGCCAAAAACUGCGGCGGUUCGAAUCCGCCCCCAUCCACCA